UACGGGGGGGGCAAGCGUUGUUCGGAAUUACUGGGCGUAAAGGGCUCGUAGGCGGCCAACUAAGUCAGACGUGAAAUCCCUCGGCUUAACCGGGGAACUGCGUCUGAUACUGGAUGGCUUGAGAUUGGGAGAGGGAUGCGGAAUUCCAGGUGUAGCGGUGAAAUGCGUAGAUAUCUGGAGGAACACCGGUGGCGAAGGCGGCAUCCUGGACCAACACUGACGCUGAGGCGCGAAAGCGUGGGGAGCAAACGGG
rnacentral:rRNA from 1 species